GUGCUAAUCCUUGACUUGAAGGUCAAAAACCAAUAGCGAGGUUUCCUCCUAUCUUCUGGUAGUUGUAUCUGUCGCUCGUCGGAUGUGGAAAACUGUUGCUCGUGAAAUGAUCUCAUUCGCGGUCACUGGAAGGCGUGGAGCCGAGGUCUCACUCGAGGUCCUUCGAUCAAGUUAAAAAAGAGGUUAGGGAGUAGAUUUGAACUGGAAGCUAGGCGUGGAGUGCUGCUGAUCUGAGGUGACCUCGCUCGCUCCCCAUUUCUCGCUCUCGCAUGCUCGCUCUCUUCCAAUCCCUCUUUCCCGGUCGAUCGCCGCCAGGGCUCGCUCGCGGUCAGUGACCGGACUUCAACUCGCGCGUUGGCAUGGCUCGCUCACUCGCUGGCACCGGACUUCUUUUCGGUCGAAUCGCCGACCGGGCUCGCUCGCGCUUGCUGACAUGCCUUCGCUCGCGGUCAGGCAGCUUUCCCUUCGACUUGCGAUCAGACGGAUGCUUCUACUUCGCGCGAUUCACUCGCUGAUUGCGUUAGCUCGCUCGUUCACUGGAGGGCGAACGAGCGACCUUCUCUUCGCUAGGGAUUUGCCUGCAAGGGGGGAAAUCGCUAGGGAUUUCGGGGGGGCAAGGGGGAAGAUCGGG
rnacentral:lncRNA from 1 species